AUGGGGUGCCGCUUGCGGCUGAGAUUAUACCCUUUGAACCUGAUACGGGUAAUGCCGUCGUAGGGAUAAGGCUUU
rnacentral:ncRNA from 1 species